rnacentral:rRNA from 1 species
GAUGAACGCUAGCUACAGGCUUAACACAUGCAAGUCGAGGGGCAGCACUAGGUAGCAAUACUGAGGUGGCGACCGGCGCACGGGUGCGUAACGCGUAUCCAACCUUCCCGUUACUCUUGGAUAGCCUUCCGAAAGGGAGAUUAAUACAAGAUGGUAUUCAAAUUCCGCAUGUUAUUUGAAUUAAAGAUUUAUCGGUAACGGAUGGGGAUGCGUGACAUUAGGUAGAUGGCGGGGUAACGGCCCACCAUGCCUACGAUCAGUAGGGGUUCUGAGAGGAAGGUCCCCCACAUUGGAACUGAGACACGGUCCAAAACUCCUACGGGAGGCAGCAGUGAGGAAUAUUGGUCAAUGGACGGAAGUCUGAACCAGCCAAAGUCGCGUGAAGGAUGAAGGUUCUAUGGAUUGUAAACUUCUUUUGUCUGAGGGUAAAAAAGCGGACGUGUCCGUUCUUGCAAGUAUCAGACGAAUAAGCAUCGGCUAAACUCCGUG